AUUUUUUUUUUCUGUCUCCCUAUCAAAAGUGUAGUGUCUGUUCUUAUCAGUUUGAUCACUGAUAGGUCCUUUAUGUAAGGAUCGUGUGUUACUUUGGUUUUUGGAGCAGGGGUUUGGGCUUGGAGCUUGCUUCGUCCACCCCAUGCAUCGACCUGGUAUUGCAGUGUUUCCAGGAGAAAAAAAAUAAAA
rnacentral:snRNA from 1 species